rnacentral:rRNA from 1 species
GUGUCAGCCGCCGCGGUAAGACGGAGGAGGCAAGCGUUAUCCGGAAUUAUUGGGCGUAAAGGGUCCGCAGGUGGCAGUUCAAGUCUGCAGUCAAAGGUCGGGGCUCAACCCCGGAAAGGCUGUGGAAACUGAACAGCUAGAGUACGGUAGGGGCAGAGGGAAUUCCCAGUGUAGCGGUGAAAUGCGUAGAGAUUGGGAAGAACACCGGUGGCGAAAGCGCUCUGCUAGGCCGAAACUGACACUGAGGGACGAAAGCUAGGGGAGCGAAAGGGAUUAGAUACCCCUGUAGUCCUAGCUGUAAACGAUGGAGACUAGGUGUGGCCUGUAUCGACCCGGGCCGUGCCGGAGCUAACGCGUUAAGUAUCCCGCCUGGGGAGUACGCACGCAAGUGUGAAACUUAAAUGAAUUGGCGGGG